rnacentral:rRNA from 1 species
CUUGGGUUGUAAACCUCUUUUCUCAGGGAAGAACACAAUGACGGUACCUGAGGAAUCAGCCUCGGCUAACUCCGUGCCAGCAGCCGCGGUAAUACGGAGGAGGCAAGCGUUAUCCGGAAUUAUUGGGCGUAAAGCGUCCGUAGGUGGUCAUGUAAGUCGGUCGUCAAAGCACAGGGCUUAACCCUGUAAUGGCGGUGGAAACUGCACGACUAGAGAGAGGUAGGGGUAGAGGGAAUUCCCAGUGUAGCGGUGAAAUGCGUAGAGAUUGGGAAGAACAUCGGUGGCGAAAGCGCUCUACUGGACCUGAUCUGACGCUGAUGGACGAAAGCUAGGGGAGCGAAUGGGAUUAGAUACCCCAGUAGUCCUAGCCGUAAACGAUGGAUACUAGAUGUUGUCUGUAUCGACCCAGACAGUGUCGUAGCUAACGCGUUAAGUAUCCCGCCUGGGGAGUACGCACGCAAGUGUGAAACCCCUGCCCGUAGUUGCCCCCAGGUAGUGCUGUGGCACUCUACGGGAACUGCCCGUGUUAAGCGGGAGGAAGGCGGGGACGACGUCAAGUCAUCAUGGCCUUUAUAUCCAGGGCUACACACGUGCUACAAUGGCGGGUACAGAGGGUGGCCAACGCGCGAGCGGGAGCUAAUCCCCCAAAACCUGCCUCAGUUCAGGAAAU